UUGUGCAGGAGGACGGUGACAUUCAGUGCCACGUGCGUGAAGUGCUGCUGCCUUUUGCGGACACAGUGGCCACUCGCUUCUUGUGCGCCGCCUGGCACCACCGGAACUGCUGCUACCUCCGCCGCCGCCGCCGCCGGCCGAAGCCUGCAGUCCGGACUUGGAGCGUCGCAUGGGCGGCCUGCUGUCGCGCCUCGAGCAGGGCGGCUUCUCGGUCGUCGAGCCCACGCCGGGUUUCUACGAGGCGCUCGUGGAGCAGCUGCGCGCCUCGCUUGCAUUCAGCGCAUCGGUCCCAAGGUCCAGGGCUCAGCCGUCGAAGGCCACCAAAAAUAGCCGCCAACCCCCGAGGGACGCUCCGUGAGCCUUUCGUGCACGACACUGCGUUUUGUUUUUCGCGGUGGCAGGUGCCAUCGGGACGCGCUUCCGGACAGAGCUACGAGAGGCAAGCGGACAACGUCGUGGCGCGUCGCCUCUGUGCAGAGACAAUGAAGCAGCUCUCCAAUUGCUUUAUGACCGUGAACGCGGGAUCGCGCGUCACAACGAUGCAGUCGCCUUGGCGAGCGGACGGCCCACUCUCGUAUAGGUUGUGCGCACUUCAUAAUCGCCGCCUGUCUACUACCGUUAGAUGCCGCGCGACAUCUGGAAACGAUGGCGGUACAUGCAAUCUAGUGCGCAUGCGCAGUGACUUGCGGUCUGCCUGUAGAAUGCAGCAGACGAUGCGUGAGCCCCAUCCUUGCGUUGAUCCUUCAAACCACGAGACUGCGCUGCUGCCUCGCCAGAGGGCUCUGCUUGUACCGAGUGACACGCGCUUCCGUGUUCAUGGUCAUAAAGUUCUUCACUGUGCUCCCGCAGGGACUGGCAGUUCUAGAAUGGCGGGAUCUUCGCUCUCCAACCCGCCUCUCGUCCGCAAUGCGACGGUCAUGAUGGGACUGACGGAGAACGCAAACUUUCCUUCUUGUACGGAACUUUCCGAGUUGGCCUUGUUAGCGUCGUAGUGCUUGUAUACAUAAGCUACUUAUUUAGCCUUGAGAAUGUCUUCACUUCGUCAUGGAAUAUUCAGGGCAAUAAAUAAAUAAAUGACAAAUGCUCA
rnacentral:lncRNA from 1 species